UGAACGCUAGCGGCAGGCUUAACACAUGCAAGUCGAGGGGCAGCAUGAUGAAGUAGCAAUACGGAUUUGAUGGCGACCGGCGCACGGGUGCGUAACGCGUAUGUAACCUACCUUUAACAGGGGGAUAACACUGAGAAAUUGGUACUAAUACCCCCAUAACACCUUUAGGGGGCAUCCUUAGAGGUUGAAAGUUCCGGCGGUUAAAGAUGGACAUGCGUGACAUUAGCUAGAUGGCGGGGUAACGGCCCACCAUGGCAACGAUGUCUAGGGGUUCUGAGAGGAAGGUCCCCCACACUGGAACUGAGACACGGUCCAGACUCCUACGGGAGGCAGCAGUGAGGAAUAUUGGUCAAUGGUCUGACGACUGAACCAGCCAUGCCGCGUGAAGGUCACGGCCCUAUGGGUCUUAAACUUCUUUUGUAAGGGAGCAAUAAGCUUUACGUGUAGAGUGAUGAGAGUACCUUACGAAUAAGCAUCGGCUAACUCCGUG
rnacentral:rRNA from 1 species